rnacentral:lncRNA from 1 species
CUGUGGAGAGCGUUAGAAUCUGGAGGCGAGAGGGAAGAGAAGCAGGACAAGGAAUAGGCCUCCAGCAGCAGCUUAUAUAUGGAGAGCAUGGGCUGGGCCCAGUCCUGGAAGAUUCACUACUUCAUUAGAGGUUGCAAAAUGUCAUCUUUCUGAUUUUAUCAUGCCUUCUGCGUUUAUUAAUUGGGAUUCCUCUACAAAGAAGAACUUUUCGUCAUUUACCUUUCAGGAACCACUGCAGAAGCAUACCAGGAAAACAGAAAGAAAUCACAGAUUUUUUGAAAAAAGCAGCAGGCCUCUGCAAAUUCCACAAGACAGAUGAAGAACUCUAAUCACAAAAGACAUAAACUCUUGAGAGCUUUAUGACCCCAG